GGACGGCGCUGCGACCGGCUCCCUCGCUCCGCAUCAAAGAAACUCCAGCAGCGGGGCAGACGGCCGUGAAAACGCCAACCACAGUGUCUUGGUCAACACAAGGGGAAACACGAAACUCUGUAACAUUUCUGAUGAAAAAAUUAAUUAAAAUCGGAAGCGGGAGAUGCUGAGCCGAUUGAAACCCACUCCACGCGCACCGCGACGGCUGAGUCAGUCCGACCGGAGCAAACCUCGGCUUCAUUCCGGUGUUUUCAAUCCGGCUUGAGAAUUAAAAGCUAGUUGAUACCAUGCUGCAUUUAAUGGACACUAAGAUCAUCGGGCUACCUUACAAAUACCUAUUUUCACCUGAAUAACCUAUGACAUGGUGAUUAAAUCCACUUUGCAGGAAGCCCAACAUCACGGUGGAAGUGGCUGGAUGACGGGCCUCUCGUACAUGUCUCC